rnacentral:rRNA from 1 species
UACAGGGGGGGCAAGCGUUGUUCGGAAUUACUGGGCGUAAAGGGUUCGUAGGUGGCCACUUAAGUCAGACGUGAAAUCCCUCAGCUUAACUGGGGAACUGCGUCUGAUACUGAGUGGCUUGAGUGCAGGAGAGGAAUGCGGAAUUCCAGGUGUAGCGGUGAAAUGCGUAGAUAUCGUGAGGAACACCAGAGGCGAAGGCGGCUACCUGGACAAUUGCUGACGCUCAGGCACGAAAGCGUGGGGAGCAAAAGGG